UAGGGAAUAUUAGUAAUGGGCGAAAGCCUGAACUAGCGACACCGCGUGUGCGAAGAAGGCCUUCGGGUUGUAAAGCACUUUUUGGAAGGAAUAGGAAGGAAUGUACUUCCAGAAUAAGUCUCGGCUAACUACGUGCCAGCAGCCGCGGUAACACGUAGGAGGCGAACGUUAUCCGGAUUUACUGGGCGUAAAGCGCGUGUAGGUGGUACUGUAAGUAGGGCGUGAAAGCUCCUGGCUCAACUGGGAGAGGCCGUUCUAAACUACAGAACUAGAGGAUGGUAGAGGGAGGUGGAAUUCCAGGUGUAGCGGUGGAAUGCGCAGAUAUCUGGAGGAACACCGGUGGCGAAGGCGGCCUCCUGGACCAUUCCUGACACUCAGACGCGAAAGCUAGGGUAGCAAACGG
rnacentral:rRNA from 1 species